rnacentral:rRNA from 1 species
GACGAACGCUGGCGGCGUGCCUAAUACAUGCAAGUAGAACGCUGAAGGAGGAGCUUGCUCUUCUGGAUGAGUUGCGAACGGGUGAGUAACGCGUAGGUAACCUGCCUGGUAGCGGGGGAUAACUAUUGGAAACGAUAGCUAAUACCGCAUAACAGUAGAUGUUGCAUGACAUUUACUUAAAAGGUGCAAUUGCAUCACUACCAGAUGGACCUGCGUUGUAUUAGCUAGUUGGUGGGGUAACGGCUCACCAAGGCGACGAUACAUAGCCGACCUGGGAGGGGGGUCGGCCACACUGGGACUGGGACACGGCCCAGACUCCUACGGGAGGCAGCAGUAGGGAAUCUUCGGCAAUGGACGGAAGUCUGACCGAGCAACGCCGCGUGAGUGAAGAAGGUUUUCGGAUCGUAAAGCUCUGUUGUAAGAGAAGAACGAGUGUGAGAGUGGAAAGUUCACACUGUGACGGUAUCUUACCAGAAAGGGACGGCUAACUACGUG